AUUAGAGUUUGAUCCUGGCUCAGAUUGAACGCUGGCGGCAUGACUUACACAUGCAAGUCGAACGGCAGCAUGAUCUAGCUUGCUAGAUUGAUGGCGAGUGGCGAACGGGUGAGUAAUACAUCGGAACGUGCCCUGUAGUGGGGGAUAACUAGUCGAAAGAUUAGCUAAUACCGCAUACGACCUGAGGGUGAAAGUGGGGGACCGCAAGGCCUCAUGCUAUAGGAGCGGCCGAUGUCUGAUUAGCUAGUUGGUGGGGUAAAGGCCCACCAAGGCGACGAUCAGUAGCUGGUCUGAGAGGACGAUCAGCCACACUGGGACUGAGACACGGCCCAGACUCCUACGGGAGGCAGCAGUGGGGAAUCUUGGACAAUGGGCGAAAGCCUGAUCCAGCAAUGCCGCGUGUGUGAAGAAGGCCUUCGGGUUGUAAAGCACUUUUGUCCGGAAAGAAAUGGCUCUGGUUAAUACCUGGGGUCGAUGACGGUACCGGAAGAAUAAGGACCGGCUAACUACGUGCCAGCAGCCGCGGUAAUACGU
rnacentral:rRNA from 1 species